UACGUAGGGGGCAAGCGUUGUCCGGAUUUAUUGGGCGUAAAGAGCGUGUAGGCGGCCAGGUAGGUCCGCUGUGAAAACUCGAGGCUUAACCUCGAGAUGUCGGUGGAAACCAUCUGGCUAGAGUCCGGAAGAGGAGAGUGGAAUUCCUGGUGUAGCGGUGAAAUGCGUCAGAUAUCAGGAGGAACACCGGUGGCGAAGGCGGGUCUC
rnacentral:rRNA from 1 species